rnacentral:rRNA from 1 species
AGGUAGUGACGAGAAAUAACGAUAUGGGACUCUUCCGAGGCCUCAUAAUCGGAAUGAGUUCGAUGUAAAAACGUGGACGAGGAUCCAUUGGAGGGCAAGUCUGGUGCCAGCAGCCGCG